AGUGAACGCUGGCGGUAGGCCUAACACAUGCAAGUCGAACGGCAGCACAGUAAGAGCUUGCUCUUACGGGUGGCGAGUGGCGGACGGGUGAGGAAUACAUCGGAAUCUACUUUUUCGUGGGGGAUAACGUAGGGAAACUUACGCUAAUACCGCAUACGACCUACGGGUGAAAGCAGGGGAUCUUCGGACCUUGCGCGAUUGAAUGAGCCGAUGUCGGAUUAGCUAGUUGGCGGGGUAAAGGCCCACCAAGGCGACGAUCCGUAGCUGGUCUGAGAGGAUGAUGAGACAGACGGGAACUGAGACACGGUCCCGAGUCCUGCGGGAGGCAGCAGUGUGGAAUAUGGGACAAUGGGCGCAAGCUUGAUCAAGCCAUACCGCGUGAGUGAAGAAGGCCUUCGGGUUGUAACGCUCUUUUGUCGGGAAAGAAAAGCAGCAGGUGAAUACCCCGCUGUUCUGCAGCUACCCAAAGAGUACGAAAGGGCUAAUUUGGUG
rnacentral:rRNA from 1 species